rnacentral:lncRNA from 1 species
CCUUUGGCCGAAGAACCUCUGAUGCCAAAGUUAGAAUUUUGAGGGAAAAGUGUUUGGAGAAUUUAGAUAAUUUAGUAAGAGAAUUGGAAUCGUGUUUUGGAGAGAAUGAGAUGCCUUUUAUAGGGGUGUGGCCAGACUCCUUGGGUGAGAGAGGAUCGGCCACUUGGCUCUCUUUGUGGGCUAAGUUCUUGAUUUGUGUUUAAUUGGGUAUAAUUGAAUAAUUAACUAAUUAAUUAGUCAAUUAAUAGAAUAAUUGCCUAAUUGAGUAGCUAAUUAAUAUAAUAAAAAGGGAAGGAUUUGGGAGUUACCUUGUGGAGAGGAUUUGAUGAGGAUGGAUGAAAUAUGUUUUGAAUUGUUACCUAUUUUGGGCACUUUUGACUUGGUUGAGGGAUGAUUGCCCGCUACUUGCGCAUAGGAAUCCCGAUAUGCUUCAAGGGUAUUUUUAUCCUUUUUUAUCCAAAAAUCCACUUGUCAUUUUGUGAUUAUUGUAAACACAAAUAUUCCUACGAUGAAUGAGACAAUAACACGUGUACAAAAUAAUAUUUUGUAUUAAUGAUUUUGGGGUUACAAUCUCUUCUACAAAUUUAGCCUCUGAUUCGAUCUUUGUAAUGUGUAGAUUUGUGGAUU